AAUCUGUUGUGGGCAGAUAAAGUGGAUAUGAGAGUCGAUUCCGCCUGCGGUUAGGAUUUUACCCUCGCCCGCGAUGAUCUCGGUCCCGGGGCCGAUGACCACAGUGACCGAUGGUUGGAUGUCCGGAUUUCCCGCUUUACCGAUGGCUGCGAUCCUCCCCGCCUUAACCCCGACAUCGGCCUUCACGAUACCCCAGUAGUCGACAAUCAGUGCGUUCGUAAUAACCAGAUCCAUGCACUCAUCGCCCGAGCGCUGCGACUGCCCCAUACCAUCGCG
rnacentral:sRNA from 1 species